AUGGAGUUUAAUAUCUGGAGAUUGAGUACAUAUUUCAUCAUCAUGUCCUGCGCAUUGGUGAUAGAUGUUGUUACUUCAGAUUUGCAGAUUUACGAUGCUGAGUGUACGUUUAAUGAAAAACCCUCUUGUUGUCGAGUAAAAUGUGACUGGAAACCAAAAACUGAAGAUAACUUCACUUCAGCCACUUGUCGUGUUAAAGGAGAAACCAUGACUUGCAAUCUUGGCAAUGAACAAAAAGUGUGGACCACCCCUUCAAUACCUUACGGAAAAAUUGCCAUAAAUGCUACUUGUAUAAUAUCUCAAGAAAAGAAUAAAAGAGUUAUCUACAAUGUGUCUUGUUACAAGCAAAAUAAAAAACCCAUUUGUUGUGACACACUAUGUGAGGUGUGCAAUCUCACUAUGCUCAAUGCAACAUGCAAAAUGGCAGGAGGAAAAAUUGAUGUGUGCAGUUUUGGUGUUGGUGACAGUCCAAUGCUUGGGUUGUGUUUUAAAAAUUCUUGUAAACAGCCUAAUGGCAAACCUUGUGAUUUCGAAGAUGGUGAUAAGUGCUAUAUCAAUUUAGGGGCAACGGAUGAAAAAAUACAAAAGCAAAAGCAAGGUAAGGCACAUACAUGUACACUUCUUGUAAACACUAUAAUAGCUAUUCUGUGUCUAAUUUACUGGUGCAUGUAUUCUUAUCAGCUCACUGAUUCCCCAAAUAAUGAUAUAGCAAGUGAGUUUAGUAGGCUGUUUUGUGUUUUCCCUCUGAUGUCUGAGUUGAGGGAAAAGGGCUUGUGUGUGUGUGUAAAAGAUGUAUACUUUGCUCUUCUAAAACUUUUACUAUUUUCUUAUUUUUUUAUUUUAUUUUUUAUCUUCUAUAAUGCAUAUUAUUUUUAAAACUGUGCCAUCUGUUGAACCAGUAUCCAGUGUGAGCAAACAUCCAAGAACUGACAAGCGAGAUGUGACAGCACCGCUAUUACCCACAAGUAUCUGAUUGUAUUUCAUUCCAAAGAAUAUAAAAUAAUAUAAAUUUAGCAGUUGUUGUUAAGCAGUUGACUUGUUUGAGUCUGUUUUCCUGAUUUGUUUCCUCCCUAAGGCAAAGGCCUCCCAAAAUUAUAAUUUUAACAUGGUUUUUAUUAUAGUCAAAUAUAUAGUGAAUAAUAUUCAAAAUGCUAAAAUCUAAUUACUGAAAGGACAUUUGCUUUUGUACGAUUUUAGAACCACACAACCAAACUGGAUUGGAUUUAAGUUGCAGUUCUGGUACUAUUGCCUUAUACUUAUUCAUUGGUUUUAUCAUUGGCAUUAUCGCUGUUGUUGGUACUAUUGGCUUCUUAUGCAUCUAUCAUAAUAAGAUGGACACAGUGUUGCCUUGCUAAUUGUGUGAUUUAAUUUUUAGUGCAUCAUAUGCAAUUCAAUUGCUGGUAAGCACCUCUAUCCUAAACUUGACUUCUAUAAUUGUUGGGAAAUAAUAACAUGACAUUAAAAACAAAAUGUGUAAACUGAAACAAACAUUAUUUUCUGUCAUUACCUUUGCAUACCUGCAAACUCUGGACCAGUGAAAAACAUAACCUGGGCUAAUAAAAUUGUAUUUUUAUAGAUACA
ensembl:lncRNA